rnacentral:lncRNA from 1 species
UCCUCCUCACCUGGCCUUAUCCAUCCGUUUCCCCCUUCCUUUAAAGCACACCUCUCUUCCUUCCCUCCUCAUUUCACCGGAAACCUUCAACAAAGCAAGAAAGCGGGAUCGUGAGAGAGCGAGAAAUGGCUUCUGGUUUGGUCCUCACCUCGAUCCGGCCGGCAGUGAUCCGGGCGAGCACCGGCGACGGCCGCGGGGGGCGGUUGGCCCCCGCGAAGGCCGCCGGCGGAGGGGGCAACAGCUGGUGGGUCCCGCUGUUCGGGUGGUCGUCGGAGCCCGACUACAUCGACGGCCCCGC